rnacentral:misc_RNA from 1 species
GGAAGGAUCAUUAACACGUAUCCAAACGUAAACCCCCCCGUGAACCUUUACCCUGCUCUCCUAUGUUAUCCGACAAAGGUAUUGUCUCUUGGUGGGAGCGCGCUGCCUGGUAUCUCACAUGUUCGUUAUGACUCAGAGUGCCGCUGCAUUAAUAUCUACCUAGAUGAUAUCUUCUCCGGAUAAAGCGUGGAUCGAUGCGGGUCGCAAGUAUAGGCUUGGUUGCCCCUGUUCCUCUGUCUGUCAGCGUCAGGGUGAUAGUGGGAUAUCUGGCGGCUGGUGUCUGACAGUGUCGUCAGUCGUGGACGGAUAACUGAUCGCUAGAUGAGGAGCUCCCUGGUAUCUCACAUGUUUGUUAUGACUCUGUGGGCCUCCUCGCGACCGAUCAGACCGUUUUGGCCACACGCCAAAAUUUUUCGGGCAAGUCUCGGGUUUGAGUCCCCUCCGGUAAACUACCCCAAUUCCCAUCUCGGGGGAGCUGAUGAAAGUCCCUCCCCACCAAAAACCGAACAACUGUUAACAAUGGAUAUCUUGGUUCUCGCAACGAUGAAGAACGCAGCGAAAUGCGAUACGUAAUGCGAAUUGCAGAAUUCAGUGAAUCAUCGAAUCUUUGAACGCAAAUUGCGCUCUCGGGUUACCCCCAAGAGCACACCUCUCUGAGUGUCGGUUAAACCAAAUGUCACCAAUUUAUUGGUGUACGACAGACUGAGGGUAAGGGGUCUCGGCUUCUUUCCCUUUAAAAUCGAAAAGCCGCACGAUUGCGUGUGUUAGUGGCAAGUUGUUUUCGGUUAAUAUCCCGAAUCCGAUCCACAGACCCCAUUCAUGCAGCCGAAAAAGAAACAACAGAAGAGGAAUGGGAUAUGGGUGAGACUGUUUUGUCUAGGAACGGGCCGAAGUGGUAGUAACGAUUCUGCAUACUCUGUUGAAUCAUUUGUGGGAACUUGAUUGGUAACACCGAUCUUGUAAACUGCGAACGUGAAGAUAGGAUAUUUGGAUGACGUAUUAUCGCUGACGCUUGGUCUUGUUUCCGAACGGUUGAUCUUGUGCUUGUUACUUUUCAAAUCUAUGAAUUAGACCUCAGAUGAAGUGGGAAGACCCCCUGAAUUUAAGCAUAUUAUUAAGGGGAGGAAAGAAACUAACAAGGAUUCCCCUAGUAACGGCGAGUGAAGCGGGAAAAGCUCAAAUUUAAAAUCCGCUAGUCUAACAGCUUGCGGAGUUGUAAUCUAGAGUGGCUCUCUCAGUGCAAGCCUGGUUAUAAGUCCCUUGAAACGGGGCAUCAUAGAGGGUGAGAAUCCCGUCUUUGAGCCGGAGCUAAGUACGUACGAGGAGCUUACUAAGAGUCGCGUUGCUUGGGAGUGCAGCGCUAAUUGGGUGGUAAAGUUCAUCUAAAGCUAAAUACUGGCGAGAGACCGAUAGCGAACAAGUACCGUGAGGGAAAGAUGAAAAGAACUUUGAAAAGAGAGUUAAAAAGUACUUGAAAUUGUUAACAGGGAAGGGGAGAAAACCAGUCAUUCUUCAGUUCCAUUCGCCUUUCCUUCGGGAGGGGUUAUUUGGAGCAGAAGAGUGUCGACAUCAUUUGGGUGUCUUCGCAGAAAGUGUGUGGGUUGGUGCGUUUCUUCGGAUUCGUUUAACCUGUGCGCCCUACGUUGAUCCUGGAUGAGGAGUGAUAGCCCGCGCCCUUUCGGGGGCAGAGCACUUUGAGGUCUGUUUUGCCCUAGCGCGUGAGAGAACAAAGUUCUGUCUGUGCGAAAGGUGAAUACUGCUUUGGAUGUGUUACUUGCUGGGCUCGCGAUGUCGACGAAAUGGUUCUCUUCCACCCGUCUUGAAACACGGACCAAGGAGUCUAACAUAUAUGCGAGUAUUUGGGUGAGAAACCCUGAUGCGCAAUGAAAGUAAAGAGCCGAAAGGCUUGAGGUAGGAAUCCUGCCCUCGGGUGGGAGGCACUAUCGACCGAUCGUUCGCUUGCGGAAGAUUUGAGUAAUAGCAUAUAUGUUGGGACCCGAAAGAUGGUGAUCUAUGCCUGAACAGGGUGAAGCCAGGGGAAACUCUGGUGGAAGCUCGUAGCGAUACUGACGUGCAAAUCGUUCGUCUGAUUUGGGUAUAGGGGCGAAAGACUAAUCGAACCAUCUAGUAGCUGGUUCCCUC